CAAAUACAAUAAGUAAACAAAUCAAUCUUGGUUUGCGAGAUAAUGCAUUUACAUAAACUCCCAAACCUGUCCAUCCUUAAAUAUCACUCCCGUUCAUAAAUUCAAUUGUACACGCUUACUAGGAGGUUGAUCGUUGGGUUGCUAUAACCAAACAACCCAGAUGUGAAACCAGUAAGCAUGGUUCGAACCAAAGAACCCGGA
rnacentral:lncRNA from 1 species